GGUCAAUGGGAUAAACAUGCACAUAGCUGAGAAGGGGGAGGGCCCAGUGGUACUCCUCGUGCAUGGCUUCCCUGGGCUCUGGUACUCUUGGCGCCACCAGAUCGUCGGACUUGCGGCGCAGGGCUACCAUGCUGUGGGCCCCGACCUCCGCGGCUAUGGCGACACCACUGCCCCUCCUGAUAUCACCUCCUACACCAUCUUCCACCUCGUUGGUGACCUCAUCGCCCUCAUUGACUCCCUAGGCCAGGACCAGGUGUUUGCAGUCGGACAUGACUGGGGUGCAGUUGUAACAUGGCACUUGUGCAUGUUCCGCCCGGACAGAGUGAAGGCGCUUGUGAACUUGAGUGUACCAUUUUUUCCUCGAAAUCCGUCUGUCAAAAUUGUCGACUAUUUUCGCUCUAUUUAUGGAGAUGGCCAUUAUAUCUGCAGAUUUCAGGAACCUGGAAAUAUUGAAGCCGAGUUUUCUCGCCAUGAUACUGGCUCACAUUUCAAGAAACUUCUAACAUCCCACGAACCAGCUCCCUUUUUAAUAUCGAAAUUUUUCAAUGGUUUAGGCUCACACAAUGGGAAAAUUGAGUUACCUCCUUGGCUGUCAGAAGAUGAUAUCGAUUACUUCACAACCAAAUUCAACAAAUCUGGUUUUACGGGCGGGAUCAACUAUUACCGAUGCCUG
rnacentral:misc_RNA from 1 species